CGAGCAGGCGAGAGGCUGAGUUGCAGAGGAGUGGAAGGGAACCCACUAGAACAACCUCUGCCACCUCCGAGCCUGCUCAGCCAGCCUCUCUCUGCCCACCGAGCAGCGACCGCGAACCAAAGACACUCCGGACUUCGAAGUCAGCGAUAGCAAUUUGCCAUCCGAGGAGCAAGAAACAAGCUCAUCGUGACCUGGAAGAAGUUUCCCAACUAGAUUUCCGAGAUGGUUUUGGCGAGAAAGAGUAAUGUAUGCUCAUGUACUAUUUCUUCAACUUAGCCUUUCCUUAGGAGCCCUCCAACUCCCCGAGAAUCCUUUAGGAGAAAUAGCAGCACGCCAUGGUUUGUAGAGAUAAGGUGAUGCAAACCAUCGUGGGCUGUUACAUUUUCCUAAAGGGCAUGUCAAUCAAGCCGGAGGGCCCCGCCCGGCCCCGCUCCGCACUCGGCCCCGCGCGGCAGCUGGCUUGGCGGCUUUGGGAAGCUGGCUCGAGGCUCGAAGGUCUCGAGCGACCCUCCGCUCAGCUGUGCCCUAGCAGCACGUCAAAACUGGAGUCAUCUACCUAAAUCCUCCAGUAUUGCCUUGCUGCUUGAGUGAAGUAGGAGCCUAAUUCAUUUCUCUACCCAGAAGACCCCAAGCCGGCGACCUCAAGAAGUCCAAGCAAGCUUAAGAACGCAAGACAUCCUGGGCUCUCGAGGAGCCUGGGAAUGAAUGUAUUUGUGUGCCACCCCCAAUAAAUGUUCUC